rnacentral:ncRNA from 2 species
ACUUAUCCUCAGGGCGGGGUGAAAUUCCCCACCGGCGGUAUCCCGGCACGAGCCGGGGAGCCCGCGAGCGCUUUCUCCAGAGUGGAGGAAGGUCAGCAGACCUGGUGCGAAGCCAGGGCCGACGGUCACAGUCCGGAUGGAAGAGGGUACGA